rnacentral:rRNA from 1 species
GAUGAACGCUGGCGGCGUGCCUAACACAUGCAAGUCGAACGGAGUCCAGCCUUUAAGACCUUCGGGUCAAAGAGGGGAAGACUGAGUGGCGGACGGGUGAGUAACACGUGGGCAACCUGGCUCAUAGAGGGGGAUAACAGAGAGAAAUUUCUGCUAAUACCACAUAAGCACACACUGCCGCAUGGCAGAGGGUGAAAAGAGAAUCGCUAUGAGAUGGACCCGCGUCUGAUUAGCCAGUUGGCAGGGUAAGAGCCUACCAAAGCGACGAUCAGUAGCCGAUCUGAGAGGAUGAACGGCCACAUUGGGACUGAGACACGGCCCAAACUCCUACGGGAGGCAGCAGUGGGGGAUAUUGCACAAUGGGGGGAACCCUGAUGCAGCGACGCCGCGUGAGUGAAGAAGUAUUUCGGUAUGUAAAGCUCUAUCAGCAGGGAAGAUAAUGACAGUACCUGAAUAAGAAGCCCCGGCUAACUACGUG